UGUGAGGGCACACUGUCCUAAAUGUGCCAGAUCUUGUCUGAUUUCAGAAGCAAAGUAGGGCCAGGUCUGGUUAGUACUUGGAUGAGAGACCAGUAGGGAACUCAUAGGUCAUCAGGU
rnacentral:rRNA from 1 species